GUCCACGCUGUAAACGAUGUCUACUAGCCGUCGGGGUCCUUAGUGACUUUGGUGGCGCAGCUAACGCGAUAAGUAGACCGCCUGGGGAGUACGGCCGCAAGGUUAAAACUCAAAUGAAUUGACGGGGGCCCGCACAAGCGGUGGAGCAUGUGGUUUAAUUCGAUGCAACGCGAAGAACCUUACCAGGUCUUGACAUCCUCGGAAUUUGGCAGAGAUGCCUUAGUGCCUUCGGGAGCCGAGUGACAGGUGCUGCAUGGCC
rnacentral:rRNA from 1 species